CCUACGGGUGGCAGCAGGGGGGAAUAUUGGACAAUGGGGGCAACCCUGAUCCAGCCAUGCCGCGUGUGUGAAGAAGGCCCUCGGGUUGUAAAGCACUUUCAGUGAGGAAGAACGCCUGGUGGUUAAUACCCAUCAGGAAAGACAUCACUCACAGAAGAAGCACCGGCUAACUCCGUGCCAGCAGCCGCGGUAAUACGGAGGGUGCGAGCGUUAAUCGGAAUUACUGGGCGUAAAGCGCGCGUAGGUGGCUUGAUAAGCCGGUUGUGAAAGCCCCGGGCUCAACCUGGGAACGGCAUCCGGAACUGUCAAGCUAGAGUGCAGGAGAGGAAGGUAGAAUUCCCGGUGUAGCGGUGAAAUGCGUAGAGAUCGGGAGGAAUACCAGUGGCGAAGGCGGCCUUCUGGACUGACACUGACACUGAGGUGCGAAAGCGUGGGUAGCAAACAGGAUUAGAUACCCCGGUAGUC
rnacentral:rRNA from 1 species